rnacentral:rRNA from 1 species
AAUGAACGCUGGCGGCGUGCUUAACACAUGCAAGUCGUACGAGAAACCCCGGCUUGCCGGGGGAGUAAAGUGGCGCACGGGUGAGUAACGCGUGGGUAAUCUACCCUCGAAUUGGGGAUAACACACCGAAAGGUGUGCUAAUACCGAAUAAGACCACGACCUCCACGGGGGUUGCGGUCAAAGAUGGCCUCUGCUUGCAAGCUGUCGUUUGAGGAUGAGCCCGCGUACCAUUAGCUUGUUGGUGGGGUAAUGGCCUACCAAGGCAACGAUGGUUAGCGGGUCUGAGAGGAUGGCCAGCCACACUGGAACUGGAACACGGUCCAGACUCCUACGGGAGGCAGCAGUGAGGAAUUUUGCGGAAGGGGGGAAACCCUGACGCAGCAACGCCGCGUGAGUGAAGAAGGCCUUCGGGUUGUAAAGCUCUGUCAAGUGGGAAGAACCUUUUUCGGCCGAAUCCGCCGAGAAACUGACGGUACCGCUGAAGGAAGCACCGGCUAACUCCGUGCCAGCAGCCGCAGUAA